UACGGGGGGAGCAAGCGUUGUUCGGAUUUACUGGGCGUAAAGGGCGCGUAGGCGGCCACUGCAAGUCGGUUGUGAAAUCUCCGGGCUUAACUCGGAAAGGUCAAUCGAUACUGCAGGGCUAGAGUGCAGAAGGGGCAACUGGAAUUCCUGGUGUAGCGGUGAAAUGCGCAGAUAUCGAGGAGGAACGACCGGUGGCGAAGGCGGCGAUCCCUGGACCGGGCAUUGACGCGUGAGGC
rnacentral:rRNA from 1 species